rnacentral:rRNA from 1 species
GGAAGGCUCGUCCGCCCAGGGUAAGUCGGGGCCUAAGCCGAGGCCGAAAGGCGUAGGCGAUGGACAGCCGGUCACAUUCCGGCCCCACCUGGGGUUCGCGUCUGCCUGUUCUUCGGAACAGGGGACUCGGUUAUCCAGCGGGGACGCGGGACCGCCUUGUUGGGGGGCAACUGGCAGCCCACCUGGCAGGGCCUCACCGCCACGAAAAGCCGCUGGAGGUACCCCCGGGUGUCCGUACCUCAAACCGACACUGGUAGGCGAGGAGAGCAUCCUCAGGCGAGCGGGAGAACCCUCGUUAAGGAACUCGGCAAACUCGCCCCGUAACUUCGGGAGAAGGGGCGCUCGGCUCGGGGCAACCCGGGCGGAGCCGCAGUGAAAUGGCCUGGGCGACUGUUUACAAAAAACACAGGUCUCUGCUAAGUCGCAAGAAAGACGACGUAUAGGGGCCGACGCCUGCCCAGCGCCGGGACCUAAGGGGCGGGGUUCCCACUUCCAUCCUCACCGGAUGGGGAGGGGGGCUCCCAACCGAAACCCCGGUUAGCGGCGGCCGCGAUCAAAAGCGGCCCGAAGGUAGCAAGAUUCCUUGACAGCUAAAGACUGUCCUGCUCCAAUGGCGUAACGACCCAGGCGCUGUCUCAACGAGGGACCCGGCGAAAUUGCGAUAUCGGUGAACAUGCCGAUGACCCGCGGUAGGAUGGAGAGCCCCCGGGAGCUUUACCGCAGCUUGCUGUUGGGCGCGGCGAGACGAUGAAGAGCUCUAGGUGGGAGCCCCGCCGGCAGGGCCGAUGGGCGACUUGCGAUCCGCAAGCGGCGCCUCGGCACACUGCCGCGGGGCAGCGGUGGAAUACCACCCUUCGUCUGGUGCGUGUCCUCACCUCCCCUGUGCAAGGGGAGAGACCGCGGCAGGUGAGCGGUUCCGGCUGAGUUGGCAUCCUCCUAAACGGUAACGGAGGAGACCAAAGGCCGCCUCAGCCUGGUUGGCAAUCAGGCAGUGACGUCAAAGCGUGAAGGCGGCUUGACUGUGAGAGCGACGGCUCGAGCAGGUGUGAAAGCAGGGCUUAGCGACACUGCGCUUCCUCGUGGGAGGGCCGCAGGACAACGGAUACCAGCUCCCCGGGAAUACAGGGCUAACCUCGCCCGAGAGACCCUAUCGACGGCGAGACGUGGCGCCUCGUUGCCGGCUCAUCCCAUCCUGGGGCUGAAGCAGGUCCCAAGGGUUGGACUUUUCGUCCAUUAAAGGGGUCCGUGAGCUGGGUACAGACCGUCGUGAGACAGGUCGGAUCCUAUCCACCGUGGGCGUGGGAGACUUGAGAGGAGCUGCCCCCAGUACGAGAGGACCGGGGCGGGCGGACCUCCGGUGUACCUGUUGCGCCGCCCGGCGCACCGCAGGGUAGCUGACGUCCGCAACGGAUAAGCGCUGAAAGCAUCUAAGCGCGAAGCCGUCCUCAAGACAGUAGGUCUCCAGAUCAGGCCCCUGGAAGACUACCAGGUUGAUAGGCCGGAGGUGUACGGGUCGUGAGGCCCUCAGCCAACCGGUACUAAUCGGCCGAUAACAUGA